rnacentral:lncRNA from 1 species
GGAGGACAUGCGUUUCUCGGCACAACACCGCUAACAACAACAACAACGAUCGCAAAAUGAACAACGAACAAGCGAAAACCACCGAAAAUGAAGAUUUGUUGCCAAAAAGAAAAGGAAAGUCAGUUAUCUGGAAUUAUUUCGGUUAAAAGAAGGAUGAUGUCGACCAAAACACGUCUUCUGUGUUCAUCUGUUGCCACAAUAAAGUCCCAGCACAAUAAAAGCUAAAAAUAUCUCUGAGACAGACAGAGGCCGUUCUACUAACAUUCACAAAAAGAGGUAAGAUCAGAGCAGAUUAACUGUCCUCAAGAUUUCAGCAGUGCAGCAUAACAUUAAAUGCUAUUCAGGUCAUCUGGUGAUAAUACUGUAUUUUUAAUAUCGCAAUAUAUAUCACAGGGUUGAAAAAAUCGCAAUAUUAUUUUUUUCCAAUAUCGUGCAGCCUUAUUACAUAUUAAAGGAUAAUGUUGAGUGAGCCAGUAGCUAUGAAGCAGAGGGGCCUUGACUCGUAGAAAUGCUCUGAGUUAGCCAUUUAAGAGGAGGGCUGAACUGAAAUGACAACUCCGACAGUCAUCACUGUGUCAGUAGAUGAUGGGCUCCAUUUUUACAUUUAAUCAUGUCAAGCUAAGAUGCAACAAUAUUGAUAUUCAAGAACUCACUGGGAAAUGUCUGCUGAUCCAUUAUGGACCAGAAUGAGCAGAUAUCCUCCACAUGACAGGAACUUCAGGGAUGCACACAAGUCUGUGGAUGACCCUGCCACUAGGGGGAGCAUUGGCACAUGGUGAUCACUGAUGUCGUUUCUCUAAUUUUGAGUUUAAACAUGAUGACACAAGUAAUUUCAGAGCCAUGUCCUUGUUAAUGUUACCUUUAAGCUUGUACCAAAGCUGAUGUCAUGUAACAGCGGUAACCUAGCCACCAUAUUCAGUUUGUGUAAUCUACAGCGCAGAGAACUAAUGCUGCGUUCGAGUUACCUCGGAAGUCGGGAGUCCGAGCUGGGAAUGACGUCACACACGAGUUACCAGCGUUUGAGUUACCAAGUCAAAAAAAAAGCAAAAUCAGAGGCAGAAACAAGAUGGCUACAUCUACGAAAGCGCUUGCCUUGUCCAGAUAUAAGCAAGGACAAGGCAAGCACUAAAAUAACGUUCGUAGAUGUAGCCAUCUUGUUAACGCCUCCGAGUUUGCUUUUUUCUGACUUGGUAACUGAAACGCUGGUAACUCAGGUGUGACGUCAUUCCCAGCUUGGACUUCUGACUUCCAAGGUAACUCGAACGCAGCAUAAAUCCCACAAAACAAAAAAGAAACUUCUGAGUAGCCAACUCAUUGCAACAACACUAGAAAGCAAGUUUAACAGUUUGUGACCAGCAAGACUUUGGAAAACCAGUGUUGUUUUUGGCAGGCAUUUUAGAUUUAGUUUUAGUCUUAGUCGUUUUGACGAAAUGCUUCUUCGUUUUAGUCCCAUUUUAGUCAUUUCUAUCCUUGAUAGUUUUCGUCUAGUUUUAGUCCGACGAAAACUCAAAAGGUUUUAGUCUAGUUUUAGUCGACGAAAAGGUGCCUUUUGAGGUUCGUGGUGUUCUUUCCCGACAGUUUGAAGCCGCAGCAUGAGGAAGCUGUGGCUCCACAACUGUCGUCUGUCUCGUCUCCCGGUCCCCGUACAAGACAUUGUGUUUUAUUGUCACUUGGACUGUAUCUAAAGUAGGACCAUAAAUCAUCCCUCUUUUUUCGGCCACCAGGUACCGCUGCUGUGCCUGCCCUCACGGUGUGUGUGUGUGCGCGCCUCGUCCACCUGCCGCUCUGUGUAUGUGUAUGAGUGUGUGCGCGCAGCUGUGAGCGAGUGAGGCUUUUGGUAUGUUUGUGAUGGGGGCAUGACUGUUAGGACAAAAAAAAGCAUGUUUUGAAACUUUGUUCGUCCACCUAAUAACAAUUUAGUCUCGUCUCAUUCUCGUCUGACGAAAAUGAAUACAAUUUUCGUCACAUUUUAGUCUUUACAGAGCUUUGGUGACGUUCGUCUUAGUCUCACUUUCAUCAAGGAAAAAAGGGGUCUGACGUCGUCAUUUAAGUUUUCGUCCUGCCUGACGAAAACAACACUGCGGAAAACACGUACUUAUAUCACUGAAUAUAGCUUUUUUAUGCCCAGUCGCAUCAAGCAUGGAGUAUGGUAUUAGAUUGGUUGUUGACUGGAUCUGCCUUUUGGAGAUCUAGGGUUCAAGGGUGUGUAUGUGUGUGAGAGAGAAAAACCGCGAUGCGUUGUUACAUUAUCAUUUUAGCAAUAACAUAGACUGCACUGUGCGCAGUUAUUGUGAAUCUUGUGAGAAGCAGAUUUGCUGGUGGAAUGUGUUACAGCAGCUGUCUGUGCCAGUCUCGACUCACGUGUGUCCCCUCAUCCAGUGGCCCCUGAUGUUUUCACUCAACAGGCCACUCAUGACCCUGGGCCUUAGGCCAUCAUUUAUCGGCUUAAAUAUGUAUUAUAUCUGGUUGUGGUUCCCAUGUUUUUUAAAAUGUAUUAUUGGAGGACUUUGAUGGUCUGAUAUUAAUGGACUGAAGCCUAUUAUUGGAUCAGAACGCCACAGUACCAAGCCCAUUUAUAAACUAUGCACUUGUCAAUCAGCUACCAUAGAUGUACUGUGGUAUGAUUCAAAAUAGCAGAGUUACACAUCGAAGCUUAAGUCAGGACGCUGAUUCAGUUCAUAACUUUGAUUGCAUCUCCUGUACAAAGAGGCCACAGUCAUCAUCAAAGCAGCUCUGGGUUGCUGACCUUUGGCCCUUUGCUGCAUGUAAUCCUCUCUUCUGUCCUCCAAAUGUUCAAAUAUGUCCCUUCACUAAGCCACCCUGCCCAAAAAAUAAAUAAAAAAUGAAAUUGUCCCAAAAACAAUCUUAAAAAAGGACAAAAAUCCUCAAAAGUAAUUUAUGAAAAAUCUUUUCAUUUCCACAUGACUGUAAAAUUAGAGUACCCACAUGUAGCUGUAAACAGAAAUCAAAGAAUAAUGUCAAUUUAGGUAUAAAUGUGCUCUGCUGUUGUUCUGAUCUAAAUAUGCAAUUCUAAUGAAGUGUUUUGGGAGAUGUCACUCCUUUGUUUUUGAUCCCUUAUAAAUGGCUGAAAAUUAUCCCAUGAGCAAUUACACCAGGGUCAUGAACAAAACCUGUCUUAAUGAGAUAUUAUGCUUAAAUCUCCUCAGGGGUGACUCCAUAUCACUGCAAAUUGUUGAUCUGUCAUAACAGAAUUUAGUCAAAGAAACCCAAUCUGACAAAUGCUAAGAGGAAAUAAGGCUAAUUGAGGUAAAAUGAGCUCCAAAACACAUUUCUGAUUAGCUCUUCUUUAAGGAUGUGAAAAUACUGGCAAAUCAUAGCUUUUCUUCUGCCAAGUCACGUGGACUUUUAAGUACAGAGCUGAUACUUGACAGCUCUGCCCUCAUCCACAUCUUACCAACAUACGCCAAGAUCAACCCAGCAGAGAUAGGAGGGCAGUGGUAAUAACCCCUUAUCAAAUACUUCAUGGAAUAAAUAGUGCGAAAUAGAGACAGCUGCAGUCACUGCAAAUGGUUAUAGAGGUGAGUUUGCAAGUAUGCAAUGGGGCAAUUGGAAAUAUAGCUGCAAUGUUGUGUUUACGCUUGAGGAACCAGUGGGCAUGACUCCUUCGACCCAGCUCAACACAAUAACAAAAAUGAGCUUAAAAAAAACAAGAACAGCAACAAAAAUAAUCAGAAAAAUAUUAUCCGAAAUAAUAUUGAUAGAGCCAAUGGUGGAAACCAUGGUAAACCUGUGGAUCAAAUCAUCACUAACAAAGUGAGGGCUGACAAAUAACAGUAGAUAUACAUGGGUCAUGAUGGAAUACAACAACUGUAACUGUCUCCACACACCAAGCGCGAGUAAAAUCAUUCACACGAAUGAAUUACAUGUUAAGUCAAUGCAAAGACGCAAUUGGAUGCUCCUACUACUCUGGCGGCACGAUGGACGCAAAUUGGGCGUAAGCUGCAAAUGUCUCAACUUGAGUGUCGCCCUAACUAAUCAGCCGGGUGACGUAUGAAAACCGACCGUUGUUCACUAGUAUCAAAAAUGGAGGAGAAACUGAUCGUGUUGGUGCGUGGGUGCCCCGAAUUAUACGAUACCUUUUCUUUCAAUGACCGAAACCGGAAUAAAAAGGGGCUCGCCUGGAGGCAGGUGAGUGAGGAGGUCAGAUUACCUGGUAAAUUGCGAAAAACGUUUGUCUAUUACUUGAUCUCACCAGUUGAAUUGGCAGAGAUUACCGUUGAAAUUACUGUUAACGCGCAAAUGAAGCGAGUAAAUACUAUUUAUUCACGCGUCUAGAUUGGGGCGACUUAAGCGAGUAGAUGAUUUUACUCACACUUGGUGUGAGCGCCCCAUUACACUAUUGCUCUUUUUGCUCACUUAUUUCACUUACUCUUCUACAGAGAAGCUUACUGCUAAGUAGUACCAGUUAAGAUUAACUGCAAUGGUGACAUUUCUGGCUGUAAAACUGUCAGUUUGCCCCAGUUUUCAAAUAACUUGGUUAGGUCAAGGCAUUAUAAAAUUCACUUGGUCAGUUUGGGCUGAAAUAAUACAACAGUGAUCUGGUUUCACCUUGAAUGUGAAAAUCAAACGAGCGCUGCUGUCUAGACUUCAGUCUAGACACAGUCUUAGGUCUGUGAAAUAGCAUUUAACACCAAGUACUGCCAAGUACUUUUCUCAAGUAUUUCAUUUUCAGUAAGAAGUAAUGUACUUCAUCAGCACUCAAACUUAAUUCUUGAUUACAUUUCUUAUUAUCCAACGUUUUAGCGACCAUGUAUUUAUUAGUUCAAGAAAAUUCUUUUGGCUAGAUUGAAAGAAAAAUACAUCCUCAGGGCAAGUUUCAUUAUUUUAGGUUCUUGGAAAUGUCUUUGGGGCUUUUAGGUAGCACAAGGGGACACAACUAACUUUUGAUUAUGCUAAUGUGAUGGAAAAAAGGAUGAGGUCAGCAAGGCAUCAGAGUCACGAAAGUGGGAUUGAUUCCGGAUCAGGUCUCACUUACAUAAGAAACAUGGGUGUAAACGUAUUGAUUAUGAGUGUUCAGAAAUCCUCUGUCCCUCUGGCUGGAUUAGAGCUGCUGCAGCCAGAAUCAGCAGUGUCCUUCUCCUUUGCCCCGUCCUUCUUUGACAAGAUCGUGAUUAUCAGGGAUCUGACUCUGUCAGCUCUUCCCCGCUGAUGGCCUCACAGCAUUACCAACCGGUCAGCAUUACUGCACAGAAAAUUACACUUACUGAAGGUGUUUAAUUAAUGGCUACUAAUUUCAUUUGCAGCAGUAUUCCCACAGGAAUUAAAGAACAAAGCAGUGAUGUAAAAAACAGGAAGAAUUAGCUUCAUUUGGGUUUUUGUGCAAAACUGUAUGCCAAUGAAUGCCUGAUAAUCGGGAAAAAAGUCCACAAGCGGAUUGCCAGAUUUAAUCUUUUAUGUAAGCUUUGCCCUUGUGUUUUAUCUCUAUUUUGUUGAUAUUCCACACGACAGAAGAGAAACUGCUUCUGUGCAAAUAUCUAAUCAUUCACAAGGUGACACUUAGACCUCAGAGGUGGCCCUCUUUCACAAGUCUCAAUAAUAAUCUGCACUUACUUACAUCACUGAUUAUGUCUGUAGAAGACGAAGUCCACUGGGCAUUCAGUCCCGCUAUUGCACAGAGAUGGGAAACGCGAAACAAACAAGAUUAAUAAUAGCCUGCAGUGCUCAUCCCUGGGGCCAAGCAGCUAACAACUCUUGACAAAACAGGGUUUUAGAGUGGCAGAUGGAUUGUCUGUAGAAAUGAAGGGAAUGUGCUCAGGGAGUGUAAUGAAGAGAGAGAGCGGGGGUGCAGUCUUUUCCCAGAGUCCCAUUGAACGAGCCUAUAUGGAAAUUAAAUCAGCCUGUGACAGUUCCCAUCGACUGACUCCACCUGGGGACAGUGACCACGGAUAUGUAUGUACGCUAAUCAGCCUUUGUUUUAUCCAAAGAGAAGAAUGCUUUUAAUAAUUACCAACACUACUCCUGUGGCUGAAUAAACAGACAAGCAGCUCGCUGGAGAGUCACUUCUGGACCAACUGAGGGAAUCAACACAGGCGUCGACGUGUUUGCUGGCUGUAAUGAGAAUCGUGAAAUGCAUCUAUUUAUAAAAAGAGUAAAGCCAACUGAGUGGUUGCAAUAAUUACAAUUUUCUGAUCAUCUCCAACAUCAAAGCUUUCAGAAACCUUCAUGUUAAUUACAGCUCAUGCUUUUCUGAGCUCCAGGUACUGAAUACUGCUCCGGAUGAAACAAGGUGCUGUAAGGACUUCUACAGAACUUUUUUUCAUUAUAUAACAUGUAUGAAAACUUAGGCGUAGGUUGGUUAAUUACAGCAAGGAAGCUACUGUGAUCUUUAAGUUCAUUAUCUCUAAAAGACAGGCCAGAGAAGGACACAACUGGUGCAUAUUUCACAACACUUAAUAAUUAUACUGCCUUAAAUGUAAAGUCCAUCCUUCUGCAUAACAAAGGGAAACAUGUAUUCAGUUGGAUGUUCAUCCUGCAAACCUUAGCCUUGAGAGAAUCUGUGAUAAAACUAUUUGUGACGCUGCAGUUUUCCAUUGACACUAAUGCUAAUUAGUCGAUCAUGACCCUUUCUGGGCCACUCUAGUGCUUUUUAAACCAUUGCUGUGUUUUACAGCAUGCAGCUCUUGGUUCAUCCUUCUAACCAAUAAACUGUUUCUGAUUUGCUUGUUUUCAACCAAAGUCCUUCAAACUACUGUGCACUACCUGCCCGGCAGACAGUCCUGGAGGUAGAUGGGUGAAAAACCUUACCAGGAACAGCCAUUGACACACCGCGAAAACCACAUCUGGCCCUGCUGGAUGAAGCAGUGAUAGAUGGCUUUAAUCACAAGGUGUAACUGCUAAUGUUGAGCUCAUGUCUGUUAAAAAACAGGGAUCAGAGAUCAAAUUCAGCAGCUGUCAGGAUACCGCACCCAGCGGAAGCCUCUAGGCAGCUGCCAUCACUGUGCUGAUGUGAAGACCAACUACUACCUGACACAUUUAAUCAUGUGAAAGGCUCCACAUUUAGACAGGCACAGCCUGCAGGGACCGCGCAAAAGGUCCACAGAGUAAAGGAAGAGAAAAAGACCAUCUAGAUUGAUUGAUUCUUUCAGUCCCUGAUUCGUUCUCUACCAUUAAAACACAUGUGACUGGGAAGAAAAUAUGGUCUGAGCACUUAAAAGAAAAAAAAAAGUUAAAAAAAAAACAGGGAAAAUAUAACAACCCUUUUUUCUUUGUAGUUUUUGUCAUGGCUCUGAAUUUGAGCAGCGAAGAAGAGAAAACAAGAAAACACGGCUUAAACAUCCGUUGCAUCAUCCAGUUUGUUGCCAGGUUCUGACGUGGAAAGGGGUGCAGGUUAAAUCAUCAGUGGACGAGUCACAGACCCUUACCUAGAAAAAAUCAUGGUUUCAACAGAAUUCUGAAUAUCUUCAAAGAAAGAUAUCAGACGGCUCUAAACGAUCUGCUGUAUUUGGUUACAUCUCGGCCUUUCAUGAAUUAGUAAUCGCAUAUUGCAAAGACUUGCAUCACUGCAGACUUAAAAUAGGAUAAGUUGUUUUCAUUUCAUUUGAAUUGAGCAUCUAGAACUGCGGUUUAUAAAUGACUUAAGUCCACAGAGGUUAUAUACAAUAUGUUGAUAGCAAAGCUAAUUUAAUGCACAGUGUAAUGAAGCUGUUUAGUGCGAGUCUUAACAAGAAGUGGCAGCUUUAUUGAGGGUUCCUUUUAUCUGGAAGUGACACCACGUAGUAAAGCUUAAUGAGUUUUGCAGGGGUGUAAGUUCCUUGUAGAAGACACCUUUCAUUAAAGUAAUUAAAUCAGCCAGUCUACUGUCACAGUGCACUUGUGCCCUCUUGGAGAGAUACUUAAAAAUGAUUGGUGUUAGUGUUAUUGUACAAAGAAGAGCAGCACCACCUACACGACAAGCGACGGGAAAUGGAUGAUUACCAUUUAGAACAAGUGCAACAUGCUGUUUGUUUAAGCUAAGAAAGGGUCAGUCAAACAUGAACCAACCGUGCUUUAUCAUUUGGAGGUGGAAGGCUGUUUGGCUCUUAUUUGUUUUCCCCUCAGAAGACAAGUCCAAAUACAUCCUCACUAAAUCUUUCUUUAGUAGGCAUACAGAUAUUUCUUUGACAAGUAAAGAUAGAUUUGAAGGCAAACCAGAAGAUGACAUCAAUGAUUUGACAUCAGAUUUGACGGAUGAAGCUGCGUCGGUUUAGUUAUAGGAAUUCAUGUGUGAAUUUACUAUCUUUGAUCUAGGCUGAAUAUCUAGCCGCCAACUGAAUUCGCUCAACGUGACUUGACUCAACUCACCUCAACUCAUCUUUAUUUGAACAGUGAUUUUGAUGCAUGAAAACAUGCAGCCCAAUGUGCUUCACAACAAAAGGAAGACAACAAGGAGGACCGACAGCAGGAGCAGCUAAAAUAAUUUAGGAAAAACAAAGCAAUGUAGUUACAUGUUUUCAACAAAAUUAAAAAUUGACAACAAAUGUUAUCUCAAGAUGGUUGGUAAAAGAAGUGGUCUAGACCAGUGGUUCUGAACUGGUCUCACUCUGGGACCCACAUUUUCCCAUGGUCCUUAAGUAGUGACCCUCUGGGAUUAAUAAACUAUCUAUCUAUCUAUCUAUCUAUCUAUCUAUCUAUCUAUCUAUCUAUCUAUCUAUCUAUCUAUCUAUCUAUCUAUCUAUCACUUUUAUAAAAUUCAAAUCAAGCAGAUUUAUUUGUUAUAAAUCAAACCUUUAAAGACUCAAAUCUUUGACAAAAAUACACCCUUUUAAUCGAGUAAAUUGCAUUUCAGAGCACAUGAGCUGAGGACGACAACUACUAAAGUUGCAUAUACAGAAAAUAUCAAAUAUCAAAUUGCACAAAAGGGAGACCAAAAAAAUGAAAAAUUUGACUUAUAUGCUUCUCUGCAUUUAGAGCAUAUUCAGAAGAACCUGAGGAGGACCAUGCAACAGCAUGGACAAAAGUGAAUAAAUAUCAGAUUGCACAAAAUAAAGACCAUAAUAAACAUGUAACUUUACUGCAUUCAGGCCACAGUAAUAAGAAACCAAGGAGGACCACAACAUGACGCAUGCCUUUCAAAAUAAGCUAUUUUUCAAAAUAAAAGACAUCUCAAACAUCAGAUGCACAUUAAAUAUCUACUUUAUUUAACCAGCUGUUCGCGACCCAUCUAGAAUGUGUCCGCGACCCACUUUUGGGUCGGGACCCACCAGUUGAGAACCACUGGUCUAGAACACACUCUUCAAGAAGACCUGACAUAAAGAUGGGGUAAGAUUGAGUCUCAUCUUAUCAUCUUAACAUCUUAUCAUCUUUUCAUCUCAUCUUAAGAUCAGGCCCACUCCUAACACUUUGAUAGCAAGGAAAACUUCCUUUAAACAGGCAGAAACCAACUCAUAUUCAACAGUCAUCUGCUGCUACUGCAUUGGGUUCAGAGAGAGAGAGAUAGAUGGAGAAUAACAACACGUGCCAGACAGUAUGAUAUCAGACUGAUGCUGAUGAAUUCACAUUAGCUUAGUAACAGUGUGUAAAAAAUAAUGAGACUGAUGUUUGUAGUUGAAGCAGCUUGAAAGCAGGCAGGUCAGCAGCAGCAGUGAUCCAGAGGAACUUACAACAUAAGGGAGCUUAGGGGACUCCCAGAAAGGACUGUGGUCAGUGACUUCUGAGGAACUUUAGGUGUGUUUCUGUUUGUUAUCAAUGCAGUCAUUCACUGGCUCUGACACCUACCUUUCAUGGUUUCAGCAGGGGUGAAAGUAGGAUAAGGUCCUUGCAGGUUCUGUACCAGUAGGCUUUGUACAAGAGGAGCACACCCAAGUUUAACAAGGUGCCGACUCUGAUGCCACAGUAUCUCUCUUUCUCUUGAACAUAAAAUCAAAAAUUUCCUCCAUUUUGUUUUAUUUCUGCAUUAAGAUUAAAGCAGCUGUCUCUUUAAAAGUUCCCUCCUUCCGCAAAAGGAGGGAAGCGGGCCGCAGCGCCUAGGCAACCAGCGUCCAAUCAAAAGUGCGCACUGAGCCGGCUCCCACUUUCGGAAUUUGUUUGUUUGCGGAAGCUAAAACGACUCACUGAAGAGCAGCAUGGUCCUGUUGGAUUAUUACAGGUUACAAUGCAGAGUGCAGACUGACGUGCGGCAACACGGUAAGCAAAUGUAGCCUACAUACACUGAAGGGGGGAAAGUUUGCGUACCGCUGCGUACCGGCUAAGCCGAAAGCAUACAGGAUCCGUAGUGAGCGCGUUCCGUAUCUGCUCCGUCGAGCAGCGCCGUCUAUCGCAUACAGGAUGCGUAUUUGGAGCGUAGCAGCCGCGUAGUGCAGCCCCGGUCAGCUGAGCUCAGUAUAGAGCAAACAACAUGCUCACAACAGGUUGUUUUUCCUUUCUGUGGUCUAUUUACUGCGAAUUUGGAUAUAAUUCUGUGACUGUUGAGCCUCUACUAUGUGUGAAAAAGCAAUGUGAUUUUACAGUUUGGGUUUUUGCAGGUUUACUCGUGUUUAAUAACGUAAACUACAUUCCUUUAUUCUGUGCUGUUACCUUCAGACAGAGUUAGCAGUUAAAAGUCUUGUUGGGGUCCACAUGGAUCAGGGAUUGAUCAUCAGAUUGUUCUGUGUUUCUGAUAAAUCCAUAACCAGAAAGUAUUUCUCAUCUACAUGAACUGAUACACAGUCAGGGGUUUGCAUAUGGUGUUUUAUUUUGAAAUACUGGAUGACAUGCAUGGUUUUCGUGCUUGACUCCCUGUGUAGAAUGAUCUUCUCUGUGUGGAUUGACGCGCAUUGUAAGCGUAGAGCAGCAAAAAUAGAGUCUUUGCGGUCAAAGUGCAUAAAAGACACUCAAUCCGACCCGAAAAACGCUCAAAAUUAACUUAAUGCGACCCCAUGACUGCCCCCGCGUAGACGUGUCCUCUUUUUGGGAAGUCAGAAUAUGGUCACCCUAUGUACUGCUGCGUACCGGCUGUAAACUGCUGUUUAUGUCUUCCCGUUACGGUGUAACGCUGCAUACCUGCUUACUUUCACCCCUGGGUUUCAGACAUAAAAAGUUACAUGUAGUCCAUCUUGUUUGCCUUUUUAUGUCACCAAGAGACGUCAUUAUCAAUUUCAGUAUGAGGCGCAGCCGGUGAAAAACUCCUCAUAGGAGCUUUAAGAAGAACAAAAGAUUCAAUUUUGUAAUUGUGCUCAAUGAUCCCUGGUUGAGCUGUUUAAAAGUAUUUUUGCUCUAAUAUUGAAAAGAUUUAUCAUAUGCCACAAGCGGGAUUCAAGGUGAACUGAGGAAACCAUACUGCUUUGGAUGUCAGGUCACACUCUUUUGAGUUGGUGCCACUCAGGUAGCCUUUCAGCAUCUGCACUUGUCUGUCAUGACUCAAAGUAAAAGCCGGUUUUGGCACCAGUCUGCACAUGCUGGCUGCAGGGUUUUCCCUCCUGCUCUGUGGGAGUUUGUCGCUGGCUGGAUGGCUCCCCAGCAUGUUGUGUUGCGGGGUUAUGUGGCAGCAGGGAGCUGUUUCAGGCUUCAUGUGUGACUGGAGAGUGAUUAGUGGCUGAAAUGAGCAUACUGCACAGCUUAAGAGAGUGAAUUAACAGCUGAGCAAACAGUGCUUACAUGUACCAUUCAGAAUGGGCUUUACGGUCUGUGUUUCACUGUGGCUGAGGCUGGGUUCAGUUGUGCACACACAGCAUAGACCAUGAACUGAAGUGUUAUAUUCGAUAUUUUCUUGCUUUUAUUUCACUAGGACACAACAUAUAUUUUACAUAAACACGCCCAGAAAAUAGGACAGUAAACAACCAUUUCUUCACAUACUAAAUUAUACUUUCAUUUCAUCCCAGCAAAUGCAGUCUGUAGAAAUCCUCACACACAAACACACACACACAUAUGUCACAUUUAUUUCCUGUUGAACUGUAAUUCAUUUGUGCAAUGUUUUAUUCUGUUACCUUGAGGGUGAAGCUUCAUAAACUAAUGCGAGAGAACAUCCUUUUCAACAAUAUCGGGUCAUGUUCAUAAUUCAAACAAACAGACGUUGGCACAGUUUUCUGCACAACUUCUGCAGUUUUUCAGAAAUCAGUUGGAAAAGUUGCAGAGAGGAAAAAAAAAACACAGUAAUGAGACGAGUAUAAAGUUAAUUCUAUUUAGUUUGCACUCAGGGGAAAAUGGAUGAGAGCAUGAAAAAAAUAAAGGGUCCUGGUUUAAAUCCUUGACCAGGCAAGAGUCCAUCUGUGAUGAGUCUGGGCUCCACUGUCUAGAGACAUAUUGUCAGGUUUCCUGGUCACAUUAACUUGCCUGUAGGUUUGAGUGCUUGUCUCUAUAUGUUAGCUCUGUGAUAGGCCGCCCUGCAACCCAAAAUAGGAUGAAUGGUGUUGGUAAUGGAUUAGUGCAUACAAUUGUAAUGCUUUCAAAUGACAUGAAAAAAUAUAAACGAGCCUUUGGUGUAACGAGCUGGUGCAUUGUCGACCAUGAAGGAUGUAAUUCUGAGCUUGAAUUCUGUAAAAGGCUGCUUUUCUUAGUGAGUGUGCUGCUUGGAAACCACUUGGUAACUGCUGGCAGUGUAUUCCACUUGAAUAAUAAUAGUAAGCAUUUAAAUGUGGUCACGUCCACUAACUGUUUUAUUAUACCCUCAUUUUCUCCUGACAGCUGAAAUUUUUCCACCUCACACAGCUUUUUAGCACAUUUCCCUCUUUUAUACCCUCUACAUAAAACACAAGGUAGAAAAUUUCAAAAUUUUGUAUUCAGAGAAUUAACGAAUUUCAAAUUAAGAUUCAGCGCUGCACUCCUUAUCACUAUGAAUUAGGCCUGAACGAUAUAUCGUUUGACUAUCGUCAUCGCGAUGUACGUGUGUGCGAUAGUCACAUCGCAGAGCCUGCGAUAUUGGAGGUGAAUGAACUCAUUUAAUUUCAAGGGUAACCGACUGAGAUACACUCCAUGUGACUCUGCAUGUGCUGUGCAGCGAUCCACCAAUCGCCUUCGUCCUUAACUCAGUUGCCAAUCAGACUACCCUGCCAGCUGUCAAUCAAAAUCAGGGAGGAGAAAACCCACCCCUGCACAUGUUCUGCACAUGGAGGGAGACGUGUGUCCGCUGAGAAUUACUUUCGGAACUUUACUCAUGACUAUUAAGCCCAACAAAUAAGAACUGUAUGGGUUUUAAAUUGUACAUUUCCGUGGACCACUCUACUAUAAGCAGUGCGCGUUUUGCGAGGUGCAUGCAAUUCUCGGAGGACAUGCGUUUCUCAGCGCAACACCGCUAACAACAACAACAACGAUCGCAAAAUGAACAACGAACAAGCGAAAACCACCGAAAAUGAAGAUUUGUUGCCAAAAAGAAAAGGAAAGUCAGUUAUCUGGAAUUAUUUCGGUUAAAAGAAGGAUGAUGUCGACCAAAACACGUCUUCUGUGUUCAUCUGUUGCCACAAUAACGUCCCAGCACAAUAAAAGCUAAAAAUAUCUCUGAGACAGACAGAAGCCGUUCUACUAACAUUCACAAAAAGAGGUAAGAUCAGAGCAGAUUAACUGUCCUCAAGAUUUCAGCAGUGCAGCAUAACAUUAAGUGCUAU